GGGUUCCCAGCUCUGCCCUUGGGUGAAUCUCUGUCCUUCUCCAUGCCCCAUUUUCCCCUCCUGCAAUUGUGAGGUGAGACUGUGCCCUCUUUGGGGCAGGGCCUAUCUCUUGCCUGUGCCUGUGUGCAGCACCUGGCACAGAGAGGCCUGGUUUAUGCUACUGUAAUAUACCCUGAUUCAGCUUCCCCACCCCAGUCUGUGCACAGCCAUGGACCAUCUUCACUGGAUGGUGAGGAGACAUACCUUUGACCUCCCUGCCUUAUUAUGAUGCAGGGAAGUGUUAGUGCUGCUGUGGCAGGUUUUAUUGCUGUUGCUCAGAUGAGGAAAGUGAUGCACAGAGAAAGGAGGGGACUUAGUUAAGUCACCCAGUAAAUCAGCAGCAAAGCCAAGGCUAGGCCCAGGCAUCUUGACUCAAUCACUCUCUUUGCCCAGCCUUAGUGUAUAGCCCCUAGCCUGCUUGCAGACUCCCCCAGCAGCUGUGUGCGCCCAGGGCUCUGGGCAGCCCUUCCAUUCUGGUGUGGUUUGUGCCGCCCUGAACCACUGGCAGCCCCUUGCUUAUGUGGUAUUAACCAUCAUCAGAUGCAGGGUCCCCAGGUGAGAUCCCCAAAGUGAACUUAUCUCUUCUUCCAUUUGCAAAUUGGACAGAUACUCUGAUGCUGUCACACUCUCCCUGCUCUGUCUGCUAGCAACCUGCUCCUGCUGCUGAUAAUAAUAUUAAGGCCACAUCCAACUGCCCCAGGCUGUGGGCAGCAAGCUGUGAGCCAGCCUGAGCAAGCACUGGCUAUAUCUCCCCAGGCUGGCCUGGAUAGUGAGAUCUCUUGCUUCCCUUCUCUUGAGGAGCUCUUAUAUCCAGCUGUGGGUAACACAGUAGCUUUGAGUGGCCACCUCCAGUUUGGUUCAAUAUUGCAGGGAUCCUCCUGAUUUUAGUAAAAGUCAGAAGGUCCAAAAAGAGGAAAUGUGGGAUAGGUGGCUUCCUUUGGUUCCUGCCUUGCAGAGAUCCCAGCACUCACUACCACCAUCUUUGCUGGGCAAGAAAGAAUAUGAAUGGUGGAAGUAAAUGGGAGCAUACAGAGUGCCUGGCAUGGGUGGGGGGGAGGAGGUAGAGGCAGUGGAGGCACAAAGAGCUCCUGACAUGGAAGUGAAAGGCGGGCCUGGGAAGGCAGAGGCAAUUAAGGGGUAAGGGUGGAGACACACAGAGCCAAUAGCAAGUGCAGAGGGAGCCCUGAACUGGGGGUGGGAUUAUGGCUGUCAAGGAGCACCUUUCCAGGUGCUCCUUGUGUAUGCCAUGAGCUUAGCCUGCAGUGGUGACCAGGCACUUGACCUCUCAGUGACUUUAUUUAUGGUAGUCCUGAUGCAUAUCUGCCAGGGGAGGCUGUAGCACAGCCCAGCCACCACUGGACCAUUUUCUUCCACUGAGCCCUGCUCCUGCCCUUCUCCAUGGGCUCUAGUGCCAGCCAGGCUGCUUUGCAGUAGACAGUCUCAGUGGAAAGGCUAAGUUUGCUCCAGGCACAGCCUGAGAUCUGCCCUGCUCUAGUGGGCUUGUGAACUGGGUCUCCUUUGGAGGGAUACUUGGGCCCUGUUCUUUUUUCAGGCCGUGUCCAGCAGUGGCUACAGUAGGGUGAAGAAGACAACUCCCACCAGGUUUCUACGUGGUGUGUAUGUGCAAGGGUCAGGGAGAAACUCACUGCAGCCCUCUGGCCUCAGGACAGAGAGAGGAGGCAAUUCCCAGUCACCAGGUCACCAGGCCUUGGGCUCCUGGCUCCCUCCCCAGCAUUGGUGCCCAUUCCCCUCCCAGUCAAGUCCCUGCCCCUACUCUGCUCAGGUGGUGCCAGGGGAGUAGUACAUAAGCAAUAAAUCCUCUGACUUCCUCCGCUCGCCGUGA